rnacentral:piRNA from 1 species
CCACAUCUCGCGAUGGAGUGCGGCUC